rnacentral:rRNA from 1 species
UACGUAGGGCGCAAGCGUUGUCCGGAAUUAUUGGGCGUAAAGAGCUCGUAGGCGGUUUGUCGCGCCUGCUGUGAAAACCCGAGGCUCAACCUCGGGCCUGCAGUGGGUACGGGCAGACUAGAGUGCGGUAGGGGAGAUUGGAAUUCCUGGUGUAGCGGUGGAAUGCGCAGAUAUCAGGAGGAACACCGGUGGCGAAGGCGGGUCUCUGGGCCGAUAUUGACGCUGAGGAGCGAAAGCGUGGGGAGCGAACAGG